rnacentral:rRNA from 1 species
ACGAACUCUGGUAUUGAUUGGUGCUUGCAUCAUGAUUUACAUUUGAGUGAGUGGCGAACUGGUGAGUAACACGUGGGAAACCUGCCCAGAAGCGGGGGAUAACACCUGGAAACAGAUGCUAAUACCGCAUAACAACUUGGACCGCAUGGUCCGAGCUUGAAAGAUGGCUUCGGCUAUCACUUUUGGAUGGUCCCGCGGCGUAUUAGCUAGAUGGUGGGGUAACGGCUCACCAUGGCAAUGAUACGUAGCCGACCUGAGAGGGUAAUCGGCCACAUUGGGACUGAGACACGGCCCAAACUCCUACGGGAGGCAGCAGUAGGGAAUCUUCCACAAUGGACGAAAGUCUGAUGGAGCAACGCCGCGUGAGUGAAGAAGGGUUUCGGCUCGUAAAACUCUGUUGUUAAAGAAGAACAUAUCUGAGAGUAACUGUUCAGGUAUUGACGGUAUUUAACCAGAAAGCCACGGCUAACUACGUGCCAGCAGCCGCGGUAAUACGUAGGUGGCAAGCGUUGUCCGGAUUUAUUGGGCGUAAAGCGAGCGCAGGCGGUUUUUUAAGUCUGAUGUGAAAGCCUUCGGCUCAACCGAAGAAGUGCAUCGGAAACUGGGAAACUUGAGUGCAGAAGAGGACAGUGGAACUCCAUGUGUAGCGGUGAAAUGCGUAGAUAUAUGGAAGAACACCAGUGGCGAAGGCGGCUGUCUGGUCUGUAACUGACGCUGAGGCUCGAAAGUAUGGGUAGCAAACAGGAUUAGAUACCCUGGUAGUCCAUACCGUAAACGAUGAAUGCUAAGUGUUGGAGGGUUUCCGCCCUUCAGUGCUGCAGCUAACGCAUUAAGCAUUCCGCCUGGGGAGUACGGCCGCAAGGCUGAAACUCAAAGGAAUUGACGGGGGCCCGCACAAGCGGUGGAGCAUGUGGUUUAAUUCGAAGCUACGCGAAGAACCUUACCAGGUCUUGACAUACUAUGCAAAUCUAAGAGAUUAGACGUUCCCUUCGGGGACAUGGAUACAGGUGGUGCAUGGUUGUCGUCAGCUCGUGUCGUGAGAUGUUGGGUUAAGUCCCGCAACGAGCGCAACCCUUAUUAUCAGUUGCCAGCAUUAAGUUGGGCACUCUGGUGAGACUGCCGGUGACAAACCGGAGGAAGGUGGGGAUGACGUCAAAUCAUCAUGCCCCUUAUGACCUGGGCUACACACGUGCUACAAUGGAUGGUACAACGAGUUGCGAACUCGCGAGAGUAAGCUAAUCUCUUAAAGCCAUUCUCAGUUCGGAUUGUAGGCUGCAACUCGCCUACAUGAAGUCGGAAUCGCUAGUAAUCGCGGAUCAGCAUGCCGCGGUGAAUACGUUCCCGGGCCUUGUACACACCGCCCGUCACACCAUGAGAGUUUGUAACACCCAAAGUCGGUGGGGUAACCUUUUAGGAACCAGCCGCCUA